CAAAGGGGGUGCAGGAAAAUAACAGGCUCUUUCAAGCAUUAACUUAUGAGUUACAAAGUAACCUGUAGGGAGAGUUGCCAUAGAAACCUAGCUCAUUAUAAUGUGAAAGUCAGGUUGGGAUGGAGUGUACACCUACUCUUUUAACCACAUUUUUACUUGGGUGCCACACAACAACGCUCCAGGACAAAUCAUAAGUUUGAAAGCUGCUGAGGAUGUGAAGACCACUGGGUUUGGAAGCAGCUGAAGCAAAUGAUGCAAAUUGAAAAGACUCCUUUAAAAGUGAAGUUACUGACAUUUUUUAUAGGACAGGGCAAAAAGGAAAAGAAAUAUUAGCACAAGUGGGUCUACGCUCACAGAGCCAUCAUGUGACUGAGGUCAUUUGUAACACCCAACUUUAAGACAGAUAUUGUAACCAUUAAACUUUACAUAAAUAGCUUGGACCGAGAAGUAUUUUGCAAGUCUCAGCUUCUUGGACCGACAGCAGGACAAUGGGCUCUACACACUCCAGACCAGGAUUGCAUAAAGUGGCCCCAUGUAAUAUUUUGCAAGAAAAGACUCAGAAGCCAAAACCACAAUGGACAGUCCCUGCACUGCCACACGCUGUGGAGCUGCCACCAGGAUCUGUGGGAGAGAAAAGCACAACCUUUCCUCCACUGAAGCAGGAAAUAACUCUUUCUUUGCUUUCAGGACAGGGACCUCACAGAUGGGGAUAUUCACCGUUUUUUUACAACCUGCCAAGAAGGCACGAGCAAAGUAAUUCAGAUCCAAAUGCAGAAGGCAUCCAGAAGCUGAAACUCGUGAGAACCCACUGAGAGAGACAUCUUUUGGAAUGAGACCACAAGAAACCCCGGCUGCCUUCUGGAGCCAAUAUCUUUCCCUUCCUUUGGUUUUGAAGUGUAACCUGUCCAGAAAAACAGCUACAACACAAGCUCGAUCAUACAGUCAAAGAAGACAGAGUUCAUGAUGUAGCACAGACUAAAGGAAAAAACACACACAACAAACUGGAGAUGGCAGAUGUUUUUGAAAACAGCAAAACAAAAUGGAAAACUGGACAACUGAAGAGAAACUGAUGCAGAGAACUGAAGUAAAGUGCACAGAGGUC